AUGGACAGGAUCUUUGCUUUCUCCAUCCUCAGCUCGUCGCCGGCAGAGAUUGCUGGGGCCGGGUACGCCAUGCGUCUGUCCUGGCGGAGCGGCGGAGGGAAGCAGGCGACGGAGAAGAAGCACCAGGAGGACAAGGUCGAGCGGAGCCCACGGCCGGAGAGGAAGCGGGAGGCCAGCCCGGCACGGUUUGCGCCGGAGUUCGACGGGCUCAACUGCUUCGAGUACAUAAUAUCCUCUUGA
rnacentral:rRNA from 1 species